rnacentral:rRNA from 1 species
AUUGAACGCUGGCGGCAGGCCUAACACAUGCAAGUCGCGCGAGCGGCGGACGGGUGAGUAAUGUAUGGGAAACUGCCUGAUGGAGGGGGAUAACUCCUGGAAACGGUAGCUAAUACCGCAUACCAUCAGAUGUGCCCAGAUGGGAUUAGCUAGUAGGUGGGGAAAUGGCUCACCUAGGCGACGAUCCCUAGCUGGUCUGCGAGGAGGACCAGCCACACUGGAACUGAGACACGGUACAGAGUCCUACGGGAGGCAGCAGUGGGGAAUAUUGCACAAUGGGCGCAAGCCUGAUGCAGCCAUGCGGCGUGUGUGAAGAAGGCCUUCGGGUUGGAAAGCACUUGCAGCGGGGAGGCGUUACCCGAAGAAGAAGCACCGGCUAACUACGUGCCAGCAGCCGCGGUAAUAC